rnacentral:rRNA from 1 species
AGAGUUUGAUCAUGGCUCAGAAUGAACGCUGGCGGCAGGCCUAACACAUGCAAGUCGAACGAGGUAGCAAUACCUAGUGGCGGACGGGUGAGUAACGCGUGGGAACAUACCCUUUGGUACGGAAUAGCCCCGGGAAACUGGGAGUAAUACCGUAUGUGGUCGCAAGACGAAAGAUUUAUCGCCAAAGGAUUGGCCCGCGUUGGAUUAGGUAGUUGGUGGGGUAAUGGCCUACCAAGCCGACGAUCCAUAGCUGGUUUGAGAGGAUGAUCAGCCACACUGGGACUGAGACACGGCCCAGACUCCUACGGGAGGCAGCAGUGGGGAAUCUUAGACAAUGGGGGAAACCCUGAUCUAGCCAUGCCGCGUGAUCGAUGAAGGCCUUAGGGUUGUAAAGAUCUUUCAGUGGGGAAGAUAAUGACGGUACCCACAGAAGAGCCCGAU